UACGUAGGGCGCAAGCGUUAUCCGGAAUUACUGGGCGUAAAGCGCGCGUAGGCGGCCUUGCAAGUCGGGUGUGAAAUCCCCAGGCUUAACCUGGGAACUGCAUUCGAGACUGCAUUGCUAGAGUAUGGGAGAGGGAAGUGGAAUUUCCGGUGUAGCGGUGAAAUGCGUAGAUAUCGGAAGGAACAUCAGUGGCGAAAGCGACUUCCUGGACCAAUACUGACGCUCAUGUGCGAAAGCGUGGGGAGCAAACAGG
rnacentral:rRNA from 1 species